rnacentral:rRNA from 1 species
GGUGUUCUUCCCGAUAUCUACACAUUCCACCGUUACACCGGGAAUUCCAGUCUCCCCUACCGCACUCCAGCCCGCCCGUACCCGGCGCAGACCCACCGUUAAGCGAUGGGCUUUCACACCGGACGCGACGAACCGCCUACGAGCCCUUUACGCCCAAUAAUUCCGGAUAACGCUUGCACCCUACGUAUUACCGCGGCU